CUCAGAUUGAACGCUGGCGGCAGGCCUAACACAUGCAAGUCGAGCGGUAGCACAAGAGAGCUUGCUCUCUGGGUGACGAGCGGCGGACGGGUGAGUAAUGUCUGGGAAACUGCCUGAUGGCGGGGGAUAACUAGUGGAAACGGUAGCUAAUACCGCAUAACGUCGCAAGACCAAAGUGGGGGACCUUCGGGCCUCACGCCAUCAGAUGUGCCCAGGUGGGAUUAGCUGGUAGGUGGGGUAACGGCUCACCUAGGCGACGAUCCCUAGCUGGUCUGAGAGGAUGACCAGCCACACUGGAACUGAGACACGGUCCAGACUCCUACGGGAGGCAGCAGUGGGGAAUAUUGCACAAUGGGCGCAAGCCUGAUGCAGCCAUGCCGCGUGUGUGAAGAAGGCCUUCGGGUUGUAAAGCACUUUCAGCGAGGAGGAAGGGUAAUGUG
rnacentral:rRNA from 1 species